UCCUGUGAGGAUGGAUUGAUAUCAAAGUCCCAACCCUCUAAUCACAUGGUUUGUCUUUCUAGCACGGCCGGAUUCCAUCCAGAAGUAAUCUGGGAACCCAUGUGAGUCUCAUUAGCACAAACACAGAUGGAGUCCCAGAGGUCCCUCUCUUCAUGUGAAGCUGGUGGCUCCCAGACUGGCCCACCACCAUCUGACUGCAUUCUCCAUGGCUCUUAAAUCAAUGUCGAGAAGGAGAGGCUCUGGUGAUCUAGACCUCAGGAGGAGCUGAGAUGCCUAACAACCAUCUAAUCAGUUCUGGACCCAAGGAAGGAACCUUUGUAGGCAUCAGGGAAGGUGGACAGAAACAUUCAAGAGGAGAAAGUACAUGUACUCUGCUGGUUUAGAAUGAGACAUGGAGCACAGCAAUUCAUGAGAAAAAGUUAGGCUGUCUCACAAAUUGUGGUCUGGACACUCAUUUCACUCUCUGUAACAACAGGAUCUUUUUGUGUCUUCCUCCUGGCAUCACCAUUCUUCACCUGAGUUGGGACCUACUUCACAAGAAUUAAAUUCACAGUAACAUCUGUUUGCUAUGGUUUGGAGCUAAAAUAUUCCCUAAAGUCCCAUGUGUUAAAUAAAGGCUUGGCCCUCAGAGAGGUGCUAUUGGAAGGAGAUAGAUCUUCUAAGAGGCAGAGCCUACUGGGAGGUCCUGAGGUCCUCAGCGGACCUGUCUCUGAAGGCGACUGUGAUUCCCCAGGCUCCCCCACUCUCUUUGCUCCCUGGCCAUGAGGUGAGUAAUUUUGCUCCGCCUUGCAUUCAUUCCCACCAUAAUGUGCUGUCAUGCCACAGGCACAAGGACAACAGGGCCAAGCGAUCAUGAACUGUGAACACUAACAAGUGUUUUGUCACACUGCUGGAAAGAUGACUAACAUGCUCCAUGUGCGUCCAAGAGUAUUC
rnacentral:lncRNA from 1 species